rnacentral:sRNA from 1 species
UUAAAGCAGUGAUUUGUGCAGGCAGUUAUCCCCGAUAAUUCUUGCCAGAUAAUUCUCCUUCUUUAGUGCUCCCCAUACGUAUUUCUGACGAAAAAUCAUGGAUUGCCGCUCCGGUGGCGUUUCACUAAUCACUACUCAAGGAAAUUAUCAUGUCCAAAAUGACUGGUACCGUAAAAUUCUUCAACGCCGAGAAAGGCUUCGGUUUUAUCUCCCCGGCUGACGGCAGCAAAGACGUGUUCGUUCACUUCUCCGCCAUCCAGUCCAACGGUUUCAAAACCCUGGAAGAAGGUCAGCGCGUUGAGUUCACCAUCGAGCAAGGCCAGAAAGGCCCGGCUGCUGCGAACGUCGUUCCGCAGUAAUUCAAGCCG